rnacentral:rRNA from 1 species
GACGAACGCUGGCGGCGUGCUUAACACAUGCAAGUCGAACGGAAAGACCCUGCUUUUGUGGGGUUCUCGAGUGGCGAACGGGUGAGUAACACGUGAGUAACCUGCCCUUAACUUUGGGAUAACUUCAGGAAACUGGGGCUCAUACCGCAUAUGAGCUCCUGCUGCAUGGUGGUGGUUGGAAAGUUUCGGCGGUUGGGGAUGGACUCGCGGCUUAUCAGCUUGUUGGUGGGGUAGUUGCUUACCAAGGCUUUGACGGGUAGCCGGCCUGAGAGGGUGACCGGCCACAUUGGUACUGAGAUACGGACCAGACUCCUACGGGAGGCAGCAGUCGGGAACAUUGCACAAUGGGCGGAAGUCUGAUGCAGCAACGCCGCGUGCGGGAUGACGGCCUACGGGUUGUAAACCGCUUUCGCCUGUGACGAAGCGUGAGUGACGGUAAUUGGUAAAGAAGCACCGGCUAACUACGUG